AGAUAUUAGGAGGAACACCAGUGGCGAAGGCGGCCUACUGGGCUGUAACUGACGCUGAGGCUCGAAAGCGUGGGUAGCAAACAGGAUUAGAUACCCUGGUAGUCCACGCCGUAAACGAUGAUUACUAGGUGUGGGGGGACUGACCCCUUCCGUGCCGGAGUUAACACAAUAAGUAAUCCACCUGGGGAGUACGACCGCAAGGUUGAAACUCAAAGGAAUUGACGGGGGCCCGCACAAGCAGUGGAGUAUGUGGUUUAAUUCGAAGCAACGCGAAGAACCUUACCAGGUCUUGACAUCGAGCGACGAACUUAGAGAUAAGUUCUUCCUUCGGGACGCGAAGACAGGUGGUGCAUGGUUGUCGUCAGCUCGUGUCGUGAGAUGUUGGGUUAAGUCCCGCAACGAGCGCAACCCUUAUCAUUAGUUGCUACGCAAGAGCACUCUAAUGAGACUGCCGUUGAUAAAACGGAGGAAGGUGGGGAUGACGUCAAAUCAUCAUGCCCCUUAUGACCUGGGCUACACACGUACUACAAUGGUGAUCAAACAGAGGGAAGCAACACAGCGAUGUGAAGCAAAUCCCGAAAAAUCAUCUCAGUUCAGAUUGCAGGCUGCAACUCGCCUGCAUGAAGUCGGAAUUGCUAGUAAUCGCGGAUCAGCAUGCCGCGGUGAAUACGUUCCCGGGCCUUGUACACACCGCCCGUCACACCAUGGGAGUCGGUAACACCCGAAGCCAGUAGCCUAACCGCAAGGAGGGCGCUGUCGAAGGUGGGAUUGAUGACUGGGGUGAAGUCGUAACAAGGUAACCA
rnacentral:rRNA from 1 species